AUGAACGCUGGCGGCGUGCCUAAUACAUGCAAGUCGAGCGAACAGACGAGGAGCUUGCUCCUCUGACGUUAGCGGCGGACGGGUGAGUAACACGUGGAUAACCUACCUAUAAGACUGGGAUAACUUCGGGAAACCGGAGCUAAUACCGGAUAAUAUAUUGAACCGCAUGGUUCAAUAGUGAAAGACGGUUUUGCUGUCACUUAUAGAUGGAUCCGCGCCGCAUUAGCUAGUUGGUAAGGUAACGGCUUACCAAGGCAACGAUGCGUAGCCGACCUGAGAGGGUGAUCGGCCACACCGGAACUGAGACACGGUCCAGACUCCUACGGGAGGCAGCAGUAGGAAAUCUUCCGCAAUGGGCGAAAGCCUGACGGAGCAACGCCGCGUGAGUGAUGAAGGUCUUCGGAUCGUAAAACUCUGUUAUUAGGGAAGAACAAAUGUGUAAGUAACUAUGCACGUCUUGACGGUACCUAAUCAGAAAGCCACGGCUAACUACGUG
rnacentral:rRNA from 1 species